UUAUUGAAACUUCGGUCGAUUUAAUUGAAUUCUAGUGGCGGACGGGUGAGUAACGCGUGGGUAACCUGCCUUGUACAGGGGGAUAACAGUCAGAAAUGACUGCUAAUACCGCAUAAGCGCACAGGACCGCAUGGUCCGGUGUGAAAAACUCCGGUGGUAUAAGAUGGACCCGCGUUGGAUUAGCUUGUUGGUGGGGUAACGGCCCACCAAGGCGACGAUCCAUAGCCGGCCUGAGAGGGUGAACGGCCACAUUGGGACUGAGACACGGCCCAGACUCCUACGGGAGGCAGCAGUGGGGAAUAUUGCACAAUGGGGGAAACCCUGAUGCAGCGACGCCGCGUGAAGGAAGAAGUAUCUCGGUAUGUAAACUUCUAUCAGCAGGGAAGAUAAUGACGGUACCUGACUAAGAAGCCCCGGCUAACUACGUGCCAGCAGCCGCGGUAAUACGUAGGGGGCAAGCGUUAUCCGGAUUUACUGGGUGUAAAGGGAGCGUAGACGGAUGGACAAGUCUGAUGUGAAAGGCUGGGGCUCAACCCCGGGACUGCAUUGGAAACUGUCCGUCUUGAGUGCCGGAGAGGUAAGCGGAAUUCCUAGUGUAGCGGUGAAAUGCGUAGAUAUUAGGAGGAACACCAGUGGCGAAGGCGGCUUACUGGACGGUAACUGACGUUGAGGCUCG
rnacentral:rRNA from 1 species